rnacentral:miRNA from 1 species
AGAUGUCCAGAUUUAUUUGAGUUUCAGAUAAUCAACAAAUAAUCUUUUCCUACAAGUAUAUUCUAAGCAAUACUUGGGACAUACUUCUACUAAAACAUUAUUUGAUGUUUAUCUGAAAUUCAAAUUUAACUGGGCAUCUUGUGUUUU